UACGUAGGGGGCAAGCGUUGUUCGGAAUUACUGGGCGUAAAGCGCGUGAAGGCGGUUUGGUAAGUCAGAUGUGAAAGCCCCGGGCUCAACUUGGGAACUGCAUUUGAUACUGCCAAACUAGAGUACAGAAGAGGUGACUGGAAUUCCCAGUGUAGCGGUGAAGUGCGUAGAUAUUGGGAGGAACACCAGAUGCGAAGGCGGGUCACUGGGCUGAUACUGACGCUAAGGCGCGAAAGCGUGGGGAGCAAACAGG
rnacentral:rRNA from 1 species